rnacentral:rRNA from 1 species
UCUGCAACCCGACUCCGUGAAGCUGGAUUCGCUAGUAAUCGCGCAUCAGCCAUGGCGCGGUGAAUACGUUCCCGGGCCUUGUACACACCGCCCGUCAAGCCAUGGGAGCCGGGGGUGCCUGAAGUUCGUGACCGCAAGGAGCGACCUAGGGCAAAACUGGUGACUGGGGCUAAGUCGUAACAAGGUACC